rnacentral:rRNA from 1 species
UACGUAGGGGGCAAGCGUUGUCCGGAAUUAUUGGGCGUAAAGCGCUCGUAGGUGGCUUGUCGCGUCUGCCGUGAAAUCCUGUGGCUUAACUGCGGGUCUGCGGUGGAUACGGGCUGGCUUGAGGUAUGUAGGGGCAAGCGGAAUUCCUGGUGUAGCGGUGAAAUGCGCAGAUAUCAGGAGGAACACCGGUGGCGAAGGCGGCUUGCUGGGCCUUACCUGACGCUGAGGAGCGAAAGCGUGGGGAGCGAACAGG